rnacentral:rRNA from 1 species
CUGCGGCAGCGAACGUAUCACCCAAGACAACUUUACGGAGUUGACGAUUGACGGAGCGAAGCGACGUCAAAGCGUUCAUUAAAGUCGAGUUGGCUUAGGGAUACGUUCGUUGGGUAGGGGAGCGUUCUGUAAGCCUGUGAAGGUGUGUCGUGAGGCAUGCUGGAGGUAUCAGAAGUGCGAAUGCUGACAUAAGUAACGAUAAAGCGGGUGAAAAGCCCGCUCGCCGGAAGACCAAGGGUUCCUGUCCAACGUUAAUCGGGGCAGGGUGAGUCGACCCCUAAGGCGAGGCCGAAAGGCGUAGUCGAUGGGAAACGGGUUAAUAUUCCCGUACUUGGUGUUACUGCGAAGGGGGGACGGAGAAGGCUAUGUUGGCCGGGCGACGGUUGUCCCGGUUUAAGCGUGUAGGUGUGUGUUCCAGGUAAAUCCGGUUCACUUUAACACUGAGGCGUGACGACGAGGCACUACGGUGCUGAAGCAACAAAUGCCCUGCUUCCAGGAAAAGCCUCUAAGCAUCAGGUAACACGAAAUCGUACCCCAAACCGACACAGGUGGUCAGGUAGAGAAUACCAAGGCGCUUGAGAGAACUCGGGUGAAGGAACUAGGCAAAAUGGUGCCGUAACUUCGGGAGAAGGCACGCUGACACGUAGGUGAAGUGAUUUACUCACGGAGCUGAAGUCAGUCGAAGAUACCAGCUGGCUGCAACUGUUUAUUAAAAACACAGCACUGUGCAAACACGAAAGUGGACGUAUACGGUGUGACGCCUGCCCGGUGCCGGAAGGUUAAUUGAUGGGGUCAGCGCAAGCGAAGCUCCUGAUCGAAGCCCCGGUAAACGGCGGCCGUAACUAUAACGGUCCUAAGGUAGCGAAAUUCCUUGUCGGGUAAGUUCCGACCUGCACGAAUGGCGUAAUGAUGGCCAGGCUGUCUCCACCCGAGACUCAGUGAAAUUGAACUCGCUGUGAAGAUGCAGUGUACCCGCGGCAAGACGGAAAGACCCCGUGAACCUUUACUAUAGCUUGACACUGAACAUUGAGCCUUGAUGUGUAGGAUAGGUGGGAGGCUUUGAAGUGUGGACGCCAGUCUGCAUGGAGCCGACCUUGAAAUACCACCCUUUAAUGUUUGAUGUUCUAACGUGGACCCGUAAUCCGGGUUGCGGACAGUGUCUGGUGGGUAGUUUGACUGGGGCGGUCUCCUCCUAAAGAGUAACGGAGGAGCACGAAGGUUGGCUAAUCCUGGUCGGACAUCAGGAGGUUAGUGCAAUGGCAUAAGCCAGCUUGACUGCGAGCGUGACGGCGCGAGCAGGUGCGAAAGCAGGUCAUAGUGAUCCGGUGGUUCUGAAUGGAAGGGCCAUCGCUCAACGGAUAAAAGGUACUCCGGGGAUAACAGGCUGAUACCGCCCAAGAGUUCAUAUCGACGGCGGUGUUUGGCACCUCGAUGUCGGCUCAUCACAUCCUGGGGCUGAAGUAGGUCCCAAGGGUAUGGCUGUUCGCCAUUUAAAGUGGUACGCGAGCUGGGUUUAGAACGUCGUGAGACAGUUCGGUCCCUAUCUGCCGUGGGCGCUGGAGAACUGAGGGGGGCUGCUCCUAGUACGAGAGGACCGGAGUGGACGCAUCACUGGUGUUCGGGUUGUCAUGCCAAUGGCACUGCCCGGUAGCUAAAUGCGGAAGAGAUAAGUGCUGAAAGCAUCUAAGCACGAAACUUGCCCCGAGAU